UGGAGGGCCAGUGAUAGGCGAGCCGUGGCGGCGAGCGGUGCAGGUGUGCGAGGAGGUCACACGCAGAUUGAAAGGCGACGGCUGCAUGUGGCUAGGGUUUUUUUCUUUUUGCUGAAAAUUUUUUAAGUUUGUGGGCUUGUUUAGUUUUGGGCUUGUUGGGUUAGGGUUUUUGUUGGGUUGCUAGGUGUUAGUUUGGCUUGAGUAGUGGGCUGGUCUAAUUGAGCCAUUGCAAUUUUGGGUUUGGGCCACUGCUAUAAUGGACUGUUUUAUUUUUAUUAUUUGGGUUUGUUUUGCUGGUAUUGGCUGGGGCAAAAUUUGGGCCUUACAGAAUCAUUUCUCAUUUUCAUUUUCAUUUCC
rnacentral:lncRNA from 1 species